CUCCUGAAUUACAUAGUUUACAAUUUCGAUUUUCUCUAGGUACAUUUUUCCACCUUCCAGUUUCAAUAGGAAGUUUAUGACUGAGUAUCCUGAAUCUACAAAAAGUAAUAAUAUUUUUAUCAUCUAGGAUCUUAAAAUAGUUUUCUCUUUCAGCAUUAUCUUUGAAUAGACGAUAAUUAAUAGCUUUUGGCGAUUCUAGUAAGAUAGAGUGCCAAUUUUGUUUGAAUUGGUCUACAACACUAACUUUAACCUUAUGAUAUAACCAUGUAUUACUAACAAAGUACUGUGCAUUCCAAACAUAUGACAGUCCACAACUAUCUAGAAUAGAUUUUAU
rnacentral:lncRNA from 1 species